rnacentral:siRNA from 1 species
AAAGAGCUUCAGUUCUAAGCCUA